UGACGGGUAACGGGGAAUUAGGGUUCGAUUCCGGAGAGGGAGCCUGAGAAACGGCUACCACAUCUAAGGAAGGCAGCAGGCGCGCAAAUUACCCAAUCCUAAUACAGGGAGGUAGUGACAAGAAAUAACAAUACAGGACUUAAUUGUUUUGUAAUUGGAAUGAGUUAAGUAUAAACCCCUUUACAAGUAUCAAUUGGAGGGCAAGUCUGGUGCCAGCAGCCGCGGUAAUUCCAGCUCCAAUAGCGUAUAUUAAAGUUGUUGCAGUUAAAAAGCUCGUAGUUGGAUUUCUGUUAAUAUUUUAUAUUAUUAAUUAUUAUUAUUAAUAUAAUAUUAACAUAAUUCAUAUUGCUUUUUUUAAGUAUAUGAAAUUUUACUUUGAGAAAAUUAGAGUGCUUAAAGCAGGCAUUUGCCUUGAAUACUCCAGCAUGGAAUAAUAUUAAAGAUUUUUAUCUUUCUUAUUGGUUCUAAGAUAGAAAUAAUGAUUAAUAGGG
rnacentral:rRNA from 1 species